AACGGCCCUGAUGGUCAAUGCUAUAAGAACAGAAAACUGUUUGCAUCGAUUAUACUGCAGGCAGUUUGUGAUAGUAAGGGUCGUUUCAUUGACACACAUGUAGGCUGGCCUGGGUCGGUCCACGAUGCAAGAGUGCUACGGCACAGCCCUAUCUACAGGUCAGCGUACCCUCCAGCUGGACAUUUCAUCCUUGCUGACRGAGGCUACCCCUGCCUUCAGCGACCACUCCCCCUCAUCACUCCAUACAAGAGGCCAGUAAGAGGUUUUGCAGCUCAGUGCUUUAACAGCUAUCACUCAAGGGCACGCUGCAUUAUAGAGCGUGCCUUUGGGAUGAUGAAGASCAGGUUCAGGGCUAUCUUCCUUCAAACACUGGAGGUUCACCACACCUUUGCCCCUCAUGUUAUCACAGCGUGUGCUGUCUUGCACAACAUCUGUCUCAGGGCUGGAGCCGUCGUGGCGCCGGAGGAUGAAACAGAGGAUGACGAUGAUGAGGAUAUGGUGGAGGAUGACCUGGAAGCUGUAGGCGGGGCUGCUUGGAGAGACCGAAUAUCAGCUGAGGUUUCUGCUCUUGUUGAGGCCCCAGUGGAUCACGAUUAUUGCUGAGUGACAUGGCCGGUGUUGCAUCUGCAUGCAGUGAAUGCCCAGCCCACAGACAAGAGGACAACUGAAACCUUAACAUUCAAGAAGUGUCUCUCUGAUGCCUGCUGUGU